UUGGGGCGCGCUUAACAUGCAAGUCGAACGGUAACAGGGAGCUUGCUCCGCUGACGAGUGGCGAACGGGUGAGUAAUACAUCGGAACGUGCCCAGUAAUGGGGGAUAGCUCGGCGAAAGCCGGAUUAAUACCGCAUACGCCCUGAGGGGGAAAGUGGGGGACCGCAAGGCCUCACGUUAUUGGAGCGGCCGAUGGCUGAUUAGCUAGUUGGUAGGGUAAAGGCCUACCAAGGCGACGAUCAGUAGCUGGUCUGAGAGGACGAUCAGCCACACUGGGACUGAGACACGGCCCAGACUCCUACGGGAGGCAGCAGUGGGGAAUUUUGGACAAUGGGGGAAACCCUGAUCCAGCAAUGCCGCGUGUGCGAAGAAGGCCUUCGGGUUGUAAAGCACUUUUGUCAGGGAAGAAAUCCUUUGGGCUAAUACCCUAGGGGGAUGACGGUACCUGAAGAAUAAGCACCGGCUAACUACGUGCCAGCAGCCGCGGUAAUACGUAGGGUGCAAGCGUUAAUCGGAAUUACUGGGCGUAAAGCGUGCGCAGGCGGUUGUGUAAGACAGGUGUGAAAUCCCCGGGCUUAACCUGGGAAUUGCAUUUGUGACUGCACGACUAG
rnacentral:rRNA from 1 species